UACGUAGGGUGCAAGCGUUGUCCGGGAUUAUUGGGCGUAAAGAGCUCGUAGGCGGUUUGUCGCGUCUGCUGUGAAAACUCAGGGCUUAACCCUGAGCUUGCAGUGGGUACGGGCAGACUAGAGUGCGGUAGGGGAGACUGGAAUUCCUGGUGUAGCGGUGAAAUGCGCAGAUAUCAGGAGGAACACCGGUGGCGAAGGCGGGUCUCUGGGCCGUAACUGACGCUGAGGAGCGAAAGCAUGGGGAGCGAACAGG
rnacentral:rRNA from 1 species